rnacentral:rRNA from 1 species
AGAUUUUAUUAAUUGAUUACUUCGGUAUGAUUUUUCUAAAAUCGAGUGGCGGACGGGUGAGUAACACGUGGGUAACCUGCCCUUAAGUAAGGGAUAACAUUUGGAAACAGAUGCUAAUACCGUAUAAACCUCAGAAACACAUGUUUCUGAGUUGAAAGGCGGCUUUCGAGCUGUCGCUUUUGGAUGGACCCGCGGCGUAUUAGCUAGUUGGUGAGGUAAAGGCUCACCAAGGCAGUGAUACGUAGCCGACCUGAGAGGGUGAUCGGCCACAUUGGGACUGAGACACGGCCCAAACUCCUACGGGAGGCAGCAGUAGGGAAUCUUCCACAAUGGACGAAAGUCUGAUGGAGCAACGCCGCGUGAGUGAAGAAGGUUUUCGGAUCGUAAAACUCUGUUGUUGGAGAAGAACACGUUUGAGAGUAACUGUUCAGACGUUGACGGUAUCCAACCAGAAAGCCACGGCUAACUACGUGCCAGCAGCCGCGGUAAUACGUAGGUGGCAAGCGUUAUCCGGAUUUAUUGGGCGUAAAGCGAGCGCAGGCGGUUUCUUAAGUCUGAUGUGAAAGCCUUCGGCUUAACCGAAGAAGUGCAUCGGAAACUGGGAAACUUGAGUGCAGAAGAGGACAGUGGAACUCCAUGUGUAGCGGUGAAAUGCGUAGAUAUAUGGAAGAACACCAGUGGCGAAGGCGGCUGUCUGGUCUGUAACUGACGCUGAGGCUCGAAAGCAUGGGUAGCGAACAGGAUUAGAUACCCUGGUAGUCCAUGCCG